GGUUAUGGCUCAGUGGUAGAGCGUUCACUCGCCUAGCAUGUGUGAGACCCUGGGUUCAAUCCUCAGCACCA
rnacentral:tRNA from 1 species